CCGCUCGUGGUCUAGUUGGUUAUGGCACCCGGCUGUAAACCGGGUUGUCGCUGGUUCGACUCCAGCCGAGCGGA
rnacentral:tRNA from 14 species